UUGAACGCUGGCGGCAGGCCUAACGCAUGCAAGUCGAGCGGAUGAAGGGAGCUUGCUCCUGGAUUCAGCGGCGGACGGGUGAGUAAUGCCUAGGAAUCUGCCUGGUAGUGGGGGAUAACGUCCGGAAACGGGCGCUAAUACCGCAUACGUCCUGAGGGAGAAAGUGGGGGAUCUUCGGACCUCACGCUAUCAGAUGAGCCUAGGUCGGAUUAGCUAGUUGGUGGGGUAAAGGCCUACCAAGGCGACGAUCCGUAACUGGUCUGAGAGGAUGAUCAGUCACACUGGAACUGAGACACGGUCCAGACUCCUACGGGAGGCAGCAGUGGGGAAUAUUGGACAAUGGGCGAAAGCCUGAUCCAGCCAUGCCGCGUGUGUGAAGAAGGUCUUCGGAUUGUAAAGCACUUUAAGUUGGGAGGAAGGGCAGUAAGUUAAUACCUUGCUGUUUUGACGUUACCAACAGAAUAAGCACCGGCUAACUUCGUG
rnacentral:rRNA from 1 species